CAAUAGCGUAUAUUAACGUUGUUGCAGUUAAAAAGCUCGUAGUUGGAUUUCUGGAGGGAGCGUCGGCCCGUAUUUACGAGUGCGUGACGUCUCUGUCCAUCCUUGCGGGAAGGCACGGCAUUGAUUUGUUGUGUCGGAUCGCAUCAUUUACUGUGAAAAAAUUAGGAUGUUCAAAGCAGGCUUUCGCUUGAAUACAUUAGCAUGGAAUAAUAAGAUAGGACUUUGGUGCUAUUUUGUUGGUUGAGCCUAAAGUAAUGAUUAAUAGGGAUAGUUGGGGGCACCUGUAUUGCGUUGUCAGAGGUGAAAUUCUUGGAUUUACGCAAGACAAACAGCUGCGAAANCGNNNGCCAAGGAUGUUUUCAUNAA
rnacentral:rRNA from 1 species